rnacentral:rRNA from 1 species
AAUGAACGUUGGCGGCGUGGAUUAGGCAUGCAAGUCGAACGGACCAAGGGUAGCAAUAUUCUUGGUUAGUGGCGAAAGGGAGAGGAACACGUGGGUACCUACCCCCGGGUCUGGGAUAGCUAGGCGAAAGCUUAGGUAAUACCAGAUAAUGUCUCCGGACCAAAGGUGUGAUUCCACCUGGGGAGGGGCCCGCGUCCUAUUAGCUUGUUGGCGGGGUAAUGGCCCACCAAGGCGACGAUGGGUACGAGGUGUGAGAGCACGACCUCGCUCACUGGGACUGAGAUACUGCCCAGACACCUACGGGUGGCUGCAGUCGAGAAUCUUCCGCAAUGGGCGCAAGCCUGACGGAGCGACGCCGCGUGUGGGAUGAAGGCCUUCGGGUUGUAAACCACUGUCGUAGGGGAGGAAAUGCCGGAGGGUACUCUCUCCGGUUUGACCUAUCCUAGGAGGAAGGACGGGCUAAGUUCGUGCCAGCAGCCGCAGUAAGAC